AUAAGCGGAGGAAAAGAAACCAACAGGGAUUGCCCUAGUAAUGGCGAAUGAAGCGGCAACAGCUCAAAUUUGAAAUCUGGCCCUCCUUCUUGGGGGGUCCGAGUUGUAAUUUGCAGAGGGUGCUUUGGCGUUGGUGGCGGUCUAAGUUCCUUGGAACAGGCCAUCGCAGAGGGUGAGAAUCCCGUAUGUGGUCGCCCGCCUUCGCCGUGUAAAGCCCCCUCGACGAGUCGCGUUGUUUGGGAAUGCAGCGCAAAAUGGGAGGUAAAUUUCUUCUAAAGCUAAAUACUGGCCAGAGACCGAUAGCGCACAAGUAGAGUGAUCGAAAGAUGAAAAGCACUUUGGAAAGAGAGUCAAAUAGCACGUGAAAUUGUUGAAAGGGAAGCGCUUGCAGCCAGACGUGUCUGCGGUUGCUCAGCCGGGCUCCCCCCUAAACCAGGGGCGCCCGGUGCACUCUUCCGCAGGCAGGCCAGCAUCAGUUUGGGCGACUGGUAGAAAGACCUCUGUCACGUAUCUUCCUUCGGGAUGACCUUAUAGGGGAGGUGUAAUGCAGCCAGCCUGGACUGAGGGACCGCGCUUCGGCGAGGAUGCUGGCGUAAUGGCUGUAAGCGGCCCGUCUUGAAACACGGACCAAGGAGUCUAACAUCUAUGCGAGUGUUUGGGUGUCAAAGCCCGGGCGCGCAAUGAAAGUAAACGGAGGUGGGAACCCCUCCUUGCGGGGGGGGCGCACCAUCGACCGAUCCUGAUGUCUUCGGAUGGAUUUGAGUAAGAGCAUAGCUGUUGGGACCCGAAAGAUGGUGAACUAUGCUUGAAUAGGGUGAAGCCAGAGGAAACUCUGGUGGAGGCUCGCAGCGGUUCUGACGUGCAAAUCGAUCGUCAAAUUUGGGCAUAGGGGCGAAAGACUAAUCGAACUAUCUAGUAGCUGGUUCCUGCCGAAGUUUCCCUCAGGAUAGCAGUAACGUGUUCAGUUUUAUGAGGUAAAGCGAAUGAUUAGAGGCCUGGGGGUUGAAACAACCUUCACCUAUUCUCAAACUUUAAAUAUGUAAGAAGUCUCUGUUUCUUAACU
rnacentral:rRNA from 1 species